rnacentral:rRNA from 1 species
GCUACGGGGGGCAGCAGUGAGGAAUAUUGGUCAAUGGACGAGAGUCUGAACCAGCCAAGUCGCGUGCAGGAUGACUGCCCUAUGGGUUGUAAACUUCUUUUGUACAGGAAUAAAACGAGGCACGUGUGCCUUUUUGCAUGUACUUUAUGAAUAAGGAUCGGCUAACUCCGUGCCAGCAGCCGCGGUAAUACGGAGGAUCCGAGCGUUAUCCGGAUUUAUUGGGUUUAAAGGGAGCGUAGAUGGUUUGUUAAGUCAGUGGUGAAAGUUUGGGGCUCAACCGUAAAAUUGCAAUUGAUACUGGCAGUCUUGAGUACAGUUGAGGUAGGCGGAAUGCGUGGUGUAGCGGUGAAAUGCUUAGAGAUCACGAAGAACCCCGAUUGCGAAGGCAGCUUACUAAACUGUGACUGACAUUGAUGCUCGAAAGUGUGGGUAUCAAACAGGAUUAGAUACCCCAGUAGUC